GUGAGUAUAAGUAAAAAAAUUAAAUAAUCAAGCAAAUAAACAGCUACUAUAAGCAUGCAUCUAUGUGUUGAAGCAGUCAGAACUGCUUCAUUAGAUGUCUUGUCCCUUCGCUUUAAAGAAACUUUAGAGCAAAGACAGUUCAACUUUUCUUCCAGGCAGAUUACUGUCCAGGGUUUUAAAUUUUAACAAAAUGAGGGCCAUCCCACCACCAUACAUCAGUCCUGUCCCUAAAAACUUUGUAUCUACACACACACACACACACACACACACACACACACACACAAUUCAGCAUUGAAAGAAAACACUAAGAUAUUCCAGUUAUUUCCUUAUUUAAUGCCCCACAAAAUAGUUGGUUUUAGUUUCUGCUUAAACAAAUACUUUAAAACACUUUAUCAUUUAUUUCAUGGAUAUGAAUUAUAAUCAUCAUAUUUAAAUAUUUCCUGCUACCCAAUUGAACCCCAAAAUAUUUGCCUAUUUUAUGCACAUAAGAGACAAAUAUGACAGGGCUAAGCCACUCAAAAAAUUACCUUAAAUAAUCUAAUUUUUACUCAGUUGAUAUUUUUAAUCUACAUUUUGGGUAAAACAUCAAUGACAUUCUAUCUGGGUCCCUUUAACCAUCUAAACACAAGCUCUGGAACCACAUAUUCCCCACUUGGUGGCAACUUUGGUCAGCAAUUGCCCUGGACUUUCCCCACUUAUAUUUAACAGGUUGUCACUCAGACUCUCUCAGGAAAACUCGGGACUGUUCUCCAGAAGUUCUUACCUCACAGUCUCUGAAUUUAUCCUCCAUUAAAGGAGUGUUCCUGCCACUUGGUCCUUGGCUUUUCCAGAAUGACUUUUGUUGUUUUUAUCACUUUAGCUUUCCCCUAGUUCUUUUAUACCAGACUGUUAUUCUUAAGUUUCCACAAUGUGGAUUUGUUCUCUCAAAAUCGUGCUUGCUUUUCAUGUCUUGAGGGUAAGGAAAGUAGGAGACAAAUAGUGCCUUCCAUAUAUCCCAAAGGAUUUAGGCAAAUGUAAGAUAGAGUUCGUUCCUCAAGGAUUUAAAUGCACAAUUUCACCUUCUCCAGAAAAGAUAGUGAAACCAUUUCCUGUCUUCCUAUUUUAUGUUUAUAUCAACAAGUGUUAUAAUUCAAGAUAAUAUGUACUUCCUUUUAUUCAAACAAAGUUCGUUCUGGGUAGAGAAAGUUAAGAACAUGAAAUGACACUUUCAACAGAAAGUGUUGUGUUUUUCAACAGAUUUUGUCUCUUUGUAACUGUGACUAGAAUUGAAGAAAUAUUUUAAGUCUAUUUAUCAAUAUACACAUAGCACACACAUGCACACUCACACACAUUCAUUGCUGCACACCUUUAAAAAAUGCCCCUUUACAACCAGAAAAUUGGUCUGUGCACUCUAUCUGCUCAAAUAAAGUAGAGUUUAAUACAAUCUGGCAAUGCUGUUUAGGUUACAGCCUACAUAUUUUGCCCUUUAUUCUCUUUUGCUCUUUUACCCAGAGGAGUCUAUCAAGAAACCAUGUACAGAAAUAUCAAGUAAAAUAUAUCAUAAAAAAGGGACUCUGAGAACCUAGUGACCUGAAAAAAUGUUACUUAUGAAACUAAUGACCUAAGAAUGCCUUUAAAUCGAAGAGCAUCUAGUACAGCAAAGAGACCUUCAAAAUGGGCAUGUAAGCACUGAUCCAGAUAGAAGAUUAAAUAGCACGAUAUAUUAAAAAGCAUAAGAGUUAGAGACGAAUGCUGAAAGACCAUGAAAAAUCUCAGAGACAAGUCAUUUCUGGGACAAUAAAUAGCGGAAGACAGCAUUUAACAAUGAAUUAAGGGAAAUUCCAUUCUUUCCUGUAUUUCAGCACUGCGGAAGUCUACGAAGCAGUUAAUGUUAAGAAAUACCAUUGACUAAAAAAAAAAAAAUGAUUUUCUGCAUUGGAUGUUAAAAGAUAUGAAGCAAGAAAUUGACCAUUCAGUGGAACAAUGUGAAUCCUAAAUUAUCUAAAUAAAAACAAGAGGAUCAGUUAAUUCAGAAAAAAGAAUUGUAUAAAUUCUGGAACUCGGUAGAUAUAUUCUCCUUAACAAAUUCUGGCAAAGAAUUCUCCCAAUCACUUAUUCAUUAGGGAUUGAGAAUUGACACUAGAAACAGAUAACUUGUGCUUAAUAUUGUGCUUAAGCUUUAAGCAUAGAAAAUUUCCUUGAUGCAAGGGGGUUACUGUGUCACCUCAAGUUAAAAGGCAAUUUAGGAAGUGAUAUGUAACUAGCAGUUUGAAAGUAUUCUAAAUAUUACUUGCUAACAAAAUUCACUCUCUACAGAAGGGACAUACCUAACAAAGAAUACAUCUUGCAGAUUGCUACAUAAAGAGAGGAAGUGAAUCGCUACCACUCAAUCCUGACAUUAAUUCAACAGACACAUAUUUUGAUUUCUGAAGAAUUAUGGAAACAUUCUUUCAGAAGAGAACAAUGAAAGAUAGCAUUCUGUGUUUAGCACAUUUCCCCUUUCCAAGUGGCAGUGGAGCGUUGUAACAGCAAAGUAAAUUGCUUCUUAUUUCUAUGUGCUUUUUAAAACUGUGACACUGACUGAGCUGAACCACCAAGACCACAUCUGUACACAGCUAAAUAAAAGGUUUUACAUGAUGGCAAAACUGGGCAGAAUUAAUUUGUCCUUGGAUGUACUGAUGAUUGCAAUGCUUACACCACUGCUUUAUACACAGUAGGGUAACACUCAGAGUACUAUCAUGAAAUUCAGUUUUUAAUUUAAAAGAUUUUGAAAAAAGGACUCAUUACACAGGUAUGGCCAAGAUGAAGAGACACAGAAACGUCUGAUUGUAUACUGUAGCAUUAGUGACAGAUUGCCUGAGCAAGAAGUGAGAAAAAUAUUACUGAAGCCUCAGAGAGUUUGAAGCUUUAGAAAUAAAGCUGCCUAGCAAGAAUUGCAACCAUAGAAUAUAGUCAUUGCCCCAGAUUGAAGCAAGGCAAGGACAGGGGUUUGUUAGGAGUGAUGAAUACCUUGAUCUUUCUCUGUUCCAGCCAGCCCUCUAAUUUUCUGUGAUACUACUGGCCAAACCCAAUCAGAGGCUAAAAUUCAAGUGAUAUUGGGUGAUACGUGUGUAGGGCCAAAACUCCUUGAAAACAGAACAGGGAAGGGCUUGGAACAAUGGAGUUUCAAGGAGAGUAGCAAAUUAACAUAGUAGACAUACAAUCUAUAAGUUCGAGUUGAGGGCAGAAAUCAGUCUAGGCUGUUCAAUGGUAUGAAGUCAGGAACAAGGAUCAUACUUCUGAGCCAUAUGGAGGUAAGAUGCUAGAGGGAGAUGGUAAGUAAGCUACUAUUUUUUCCACUUAUGUAAGUAGAAA
rnacentral:lncRNA from 10 species